GAUGAACGCUGGCGGCGUGCCUAAUACAUGCAAGUCGAGCGAACGGACGAGAAGCUUGCUUCUCUGAUGUUAGCGGCGGACGGGUGAGUAACACGUGGAUAACCUACCUAUAAGACUGGGAUAACUUCGGGAAACCGGAGCUAAUACCGGAUAAUAUUUUGAACCGCAUGGUUCAAAAGUGAAAGACGGUCUUGCUGUCACUUAUAGAUGGAUCCGCGCUGCAUUAGCUAGUUGGUAAGGUAACGGCUUACCAAGGCAACGAUGCAUAGCCGACCCGAGAGGGUGAUCGGCCACACUGGAACUGAGACACGGUCCAGACUCCUACGGGAGGCAGCAGUAGGGAAUCUUCCGCAAUGGGCGAAAGCCUGACGGAGCAACGCCGCGUGAGUGAUGAAGGUCUUCGGAUCGUAAAACUCUGUUAUUAGGGAAGAACAUAUGUGUAAGUAACUGUGCACAUCUUGACGGUACCUAACCAGAAAGCCACGGCUAACUACGUG
rnacentral:rRNA from 1 species